rnacentral:tRNA from 2 species
GCGGGCGUAGCUCAGUGGCUAGAGCAUCACCUUGCCAAGGUGAGGGUCGAGGGUUCGAAUCUCUUCGCCCGCUCCA